rnacentral:lncRNA from 1 species
UUGAAUGAUUACAAAUAUAUCUCAAAUACAUCUUAAUUCAAUCUUAAUUUAAUCCUAAUUAAAAUCCUAUUGAAUUCCAUUCAAACUUUAGGCCAAAAACUAACUAAAUCUUGAAUCCUAAAUAAAUCCUAAUAAAAUCCUAAAUCCUAAAUCAAAUCCUAAUCAAACCUUAAAUUCUAAAUCAAAUCCUAAUCAAACCCUAAAUCUUAAAUCAAAUCUUAAUCUAAUCCUAAUCCUAAAUUAAAUCCUAACUAAAUCCUAAAUCCUAAACCAAACCUUGAUCAAAUCCUAAAUCCUAAACCAAAUCCUAAUCAAAUCCUAACCAAAUCCUAAAUCCUAAAUUAAAUCCUAAUCAAAUCUUAAACUCUAAAUCAAAUUCUAAUCAAAACCUAAUCAAAUUCUAAUCAAAUCCUAAAUAAAAUCCUAAUCAAAUCUUAAAUCAAAUCCUAAACCCUAAAUCAAAUCCUAACCAAAUUCUAAUUCUAAAUCAAACCUUAAUCAAAUCCUAAAUUCUAAAUCAACCCCCAACCAAACCUUAAAUCCUAAACCAAAUCCUAACCAAAUUUUAAACCCUAAAUCAAACUCUAACCAAAUCCUAAUCCUAAAUCAAAUCCUAAUCAAAUCCUAAAUUCUAAAUUAAAUCCUAACCAAAUCCUAAACCAAA